ensembl:lincRNA
AGAGGCCGAAGUCGGGCCAGACCGGCUGGACACCAUGCUAUUCACCGAGACUGCUCACUUCGUGGUGAAUUUUCUUCUGUCCCGGUGAGGGGCCCGAGGGAAGGCGCCGGCGGGAUAAAGCACCCUGGUCUGGCAGCUGGGGAAGGAGGCACCCAGGUCCUUGGGAAGGCGCCAGUGGGGGCCUCCAGUCCCUUUCCACGUCCUUCUAAAUCGACCAGGAGUGACCCCGGCCCGUGCCCUGCCUCGUCCGAUCCGAGGCAGCUCCCUUCUCCCCGCCUGUCGUGUUCUCCUGGGGUGAUCGCUGUCCCAUCUCCCCCGCAGGCGGCCCCGGGCCACGGCCCCGCACCGCCUGGACAAGGAGUUGUGUUUCUGGGGCAGCCGGGGCCCGGUCUUGCCGGCCCCCGCCGCCCGCCGCAGCCUGGGCGACUACUGGCUGAGCCCGCAGCGCCGCCACCCUCCGGGUGCCGCCUGGCGCUGGCCCGCACGGAACCUGUUAUUGCUGCCCGGGGCCACCUGCCUGGCCGACGUGCCCUCAGCGCGCUGGCCAAGCUGCUACGGCGCGCGCCCGAGACUCACGGACUUGGGGAGACAGGCUUCAGGCUCCAUCGCACGAUGAUCCUGGGGCCGACUUGUGCCAAGGCUGGGCUAAGAGGGAAGAUGGCCUGGAUGCGCAGCAUGAUCCUGAGUCCCCUCUCUGUGGAUGACAAUGAGUCACCUUUGCCCUCCUUCCUGAGAUCUCUAUGGUUCUGCCCUUCAUUCUCCAAAUAAAAUCACCGUGGCCUCGCUCUGGCUCUCUCUACUUUGAGGGGAUGAUCUCGGUUUUUCCCAUUGACACACACUGAGUUGGCCAAAUCUACAGGGCUGAGAGAGCCUCUGCCAUCACCCCUUGACCUUCCCACUAUGCCCACCCCAACCAUGAGCUCCCGGGGAGGAGACUGGAUGAAAGAGGCCUGGUUCCUACUCUCCUGACUCUCAAACUGCCACGGAAAGAGGAGACAUGCACCAGCUGAGUACAGUGUCACAAGAGGGUGACAUUAGUUUGGGGCACAGUGGGUCAGAAAAGUCUUCUGGAGGGGUCCCUGGAGCUGGAUCUUGACAGGUGGGUGGGCACUGGGGUGGGCAUGCCCGGGGAGCCGCAUUCCAGGCAGAGGGGGCAGCGUGGAGAAAGGUUCGGGGAUUUGUGAGACUGGCAGCCAAGCGGGCUCUCCCUAAAAUAAGGCCAGCUAGGGCAUCGCUUGAAAGACCUUGAAAGCCAGUACAAGGGGUUAUCCAGGCAGAAACAGGGAGCCAUGAACAGGUUUAAAACAGGGGAGGGGCUGGGUGUGGUGGCUCACGCCUAUAAUCCCAGCAUUUUGGGAGGCCGGGGUGGGUGGAUCUCUUGAGGUCAGGAGUUCGAGACAGCCUGGCCAACACAGUGAAACCCCGUCUCUACUAAAAAUACAAAAUAGCUGGGCUUGGUGGCAUGCACUUGUAAUUCCAGCUACUCGGGAGGCUGAGGCAGGAGAAUCACUUGAACCCAGGAGGUGGAGGUUGUAAUGAGCCAAGAUCACGCCACUGCAUUCCAGCCUGGGAGACAGAGCGAGACUCUGUCUCAAAAAAGUAAUAAAUAAAUAAACAAAUAAAUAAAGCAGGGGAGGGACACGGUCUGGUGAUUGGUCCCUGGCCCUCAGUUAGGUCUGAGGCCUAGCUGUCCUUGCACCCUCUCUUACCCACUCUCCCAGGUCCUGUCCAGGACUGUGGCCUGGAGGGGUUCCCCCCAAGCCUCCGUGCAAAGGUCUGGCAGAGGUUGCUGAUGACUAGAGGAAAGAGCUGCCCUGACUUAUCCACUCACUGCUCAACAGGAGCCCCCUCCCCCACCCACAUAAGACCCCCCCAUGGGUCGGACACGGUGGCUCAUGCCUAUGAUCCCAGUACUUUGGGAGGCCGAGGCAGGCAGAUGGCCUGAGGUCAGGAGUUUGAGACCAGUCUGGCCAACAUGGCAAAACUCUGUCUUUACUAAAAGUACAAAAAUUAGCUGGGUGUGGUGUCGGGCACCUGUAAUCCCAGCUGCUUGGGAGGUUGAGGCAGAAUCACUUGAACCCAGGAGGCAGAGGUUGCGGUGAGCUGAGAUCACGCCACCUCAAUCCAGCCUGGGCAACAAGAGCAAAAGUCCAUCAAAACAAAACAAAACAAACAAACAAACAAAACCCUAUGACCCAUCCCCUGCCCUCUGCGGGGCUCUCAGUCAAAUAAACAGGUAAGAUUGGCAGCCAGGUGGGCUCCUCCUCAAACAAGGCCAGCUCAGGGCAGCCCCAUGCCCAGCUCUCUGGAGCAGCAACCAUGUCCCUCCCUCCUCCGGCCCCUCUCCCUUCACGCAGAACCUAGUCCCUAUCUCUGGGGCUCUCUGCUCUCAGAAUGUCUCUAGACUUCAUCCUCUCCUCCUCUACCCUCUUCCCUCGCCUAGUUCAGGCCACCAUUGCCUUUGUCUGGACAAGUCCAAUUGACUUUUCCCUGGGUUUCCUGCCUCCAACUCUGUCCUCUCUGAUCUGUGUCCAUGGGACCUGUUUGUCUGUUUUACAGGUCCCUAUGGGACAUCCAGGGUGACCUCCAAGUUCACCGGGAGUUCUGUACAGAGAUCUAGGCUGGAGAUAGACUUCAGAGUAGCAUAUAGAUGAGCUCAUGGAUACGGGAGAGAGAAGAGAGAGAGAGAGAGAGGGUGGUUGGGGGUCUCAUUUUUUCUCUCUCUCCAACACAGACUUCUCUCUCCAGGCCAUAGAUCUAAUGACAUCCCAAAGCCACCUCGGUUUAGCCUGGCCCAAACCGACCCCUCUGUUUCCACGCACACGCCGCUGCUCUUCCUCAGGCUUCCUCCGUGGCACUUGGCACACCUUUCCGCCCAUUUUCCCAAGCCAGACCUUCGGUCCCCCUCAGCCUCCGACCUCCCCAAUCCCACACUGAGUCCUUCCCUGAGUCCUGCGGCUGCUGCUCCUGAAUGUCCCCCGUGCUCCUUUCCCUCCUUUCCUCUGCCUUUCAGCGGCAUUUAACAUGGUGGAUCACUCACUCCUUCAGGAAGGCGCUUCUUCCCCCAGCCUUGAGGACACCCCUGCUGCUGGCUCACUGGUCAUCAGCUGAUCCCCAAUGGGAGUCUAAAUGUCUUCUGCCUUCUUUUUUUGUUUGUUUCUUUUAGAGAUGGGGGGGGGGGGGUCACACUACGUUGCCCAGGCUGGUCUCGAACUCCUGGGCUCAAGCAAUCCUCCCGCCUCAGCCUUCCAAAGUGCUGGGAUUGCAGGCGUGAGCCGCCGCACCCAGCCUGACUCUGCCUUUCUUGAGCCACUCUUUCUCUCUAAUGGACGCCGUUGAGCCCUUUGGCUUCAAAUUUGGGAUCACCCCAAACAAUGGGGCUUCUCCUCUGUAGUCCCGACUCAUAUAUCCACUAACUGCCAGCCUGAUGUCUCCAUGGGGACUCUAAUAGGCACCUGGAACUUCAAUUCCAAGGCUACCCUCUUAAGCCCCAGCACUGAGAGCAAGGAGAACACUGAGCUCAAGACACCUGGGUGCUGGCCAACUCUCCCUUCCGCAUUGAGUUCAGGCCCCAUCAUCUCUGGCCUCGAUUACUGCAAUAGCAGGGAAAGACAGCCAGGCAGAGGGGACUGCCUGUGCAAAGGCAGGAAGGAGAGCAAGGUUAUGGCCUGGCCAGAAGCCCAGAGUGUGUUGUGGGGCUCAGAUAGCAAAUACCUUAAAUGUAAGGCUCGGGCUUGGUCCUGAGAGCAAUAGGGAACCACUGAACGGUUAAAAUCCAAGGGGAGCACAUUUGUUUUUACAUUUCUGUCACGCCUUCAUUCAUUCCUCCUGUCGUUUACUUUGUCUGUCAACAAAUAGCUGCUGAGCACCCUCUAUUAGAAAGUGACCCUGAGACAGUGGAGAAUGUCUGGAGGGGCAGGACUGCUUGGCAGAGAGAUCAGUGAGAAGCAGAUGACAUAGCCCAGCCCAGGUGAAUGAAGGGUCUUCCACAGUGCGGAAUGGAGAGGAGCAAUGAGCUGAGAUCAGUCCAGGUUCCUGGCUUGGGCAGUGGAGGACGUAAGUAAGGUGUGAGAGGUGCCGAGCCCAAAGCCCAGAGCAAUGGAGUCUGUGGUGGGAAGAGCCAGUCCUUCCUCCUGGGGACUCUGGAAAGCUCCUUGGGAGUGGUUUGAUCUGGGUUUUAAAAGAAGAGUAGGCCGGGAACAGUGGCUCACACCUGUAAUCCCAGCACUUUGGGAGGCUGAGGUGGGCGGAUCACUUGAGGUCAGAAGUUCAAGACCAGCCUGGCUAACAUGUUGAAACCCCGUCUCCACUAAAAAUACAAAAAUUAGCUGAGCAUAGUGGCGGGUGCCUGUAAUCCCAGCUACUCGGGAAGUUGAGGCAGGAGAAUUGCUUGAACCCGGGAGGCGGAGGUUGCAGCGAGCCAAGAUUGUGCCACCGCACUCUAGCCUGGGUGACACAGUCAGACUCCAUCUCAAAAAAGAAAAAAAAAAGAGAAGAGUAGAAAUUCAGAAAGUAGAGAGGAAUGCUGGGCAGAGGAAACAGCAUGUUGAAAGGCCCUGAGGCAGGACAGAGCUCAGCACUUAGAGGAACUGAGAAGCCAGUGAGUUGAAGCUCGGCAGGCUGAGUGGAGUGCUAUGACUUGAAUGUGUCCCCCCAAAAGCAUGUGUUAUAUUCCUGGCAUAUUCCCCAAUGCAACAGUGGUGAGAGCUGAGGCACUGGGGAAGGGUCGCCAGGGAUGAUACCUCUCUGAGUAAGCAGAAGAGAAGGGGAAUUUAGGCCGGGCGCGGUGGCUCACGCCUGUAAUCCCAGCACUUUGGGAGGCUGAGGCAGGCGGAUUGCCUGAGGUCAGGAGUUCAAGACCAGCCUGGCUAGCAUGGUGAAACCCCAUCUCUACUAAAAAUACAAAAAUUAGCUCGGCAUGAUGGCAGGCACCUGUAAUCCCAGCUGCUUGGGAAGCUGAGGCAGGAGAAUCACUUGAACCUGGGAGGCAGAGGUUGCAGUGAGCUGAUAUCACACCAUUGCACUCCAGCCUGGGCGCCAGAGCGAGACUCUGUCUCAAAAAAAAAAGAGAGAGAGAGAGAAGGGGAAUUUAAGGAGGGGCUGGGAGAGGACAGAAAGAUGAAGUAUGUCUUUGGGUGCAGGUAGGGGGCCACUCCACAGUAUAUUUCUCUGGAAAAAGGUACUAAAAGGAGGUCCCAGGAGGACACUUAUGGGGUGCAAGAGGAAAGGGAGAGAAUCUUCAGGAUUCUGAGAAACAGGCACAUUCCUUUCUCAUUGAGAAAUUAACUGAGGCCAGUGGCUCACGCCUGUAAUCCCAACACUUUGGGAGGCCAAAGUAGGAGGAUCACUUGAGUCCAGGAGUUCUAAGGCCAGCUUGGGCAACAUGGCGAGACCCUGUCUCUAGGGGGGAAAAAAAA